rnacentral:rRNA from 1 species
CGUCCCGCCGGCGACCGGCGCACGGGUGAGUAACACGUAUGCAACCUGGCCGCCACAGGGGGAUAACCCGCGGAAACGCGGCCUAAUACCCCGUGACGCCACCGGAGGGCAUCCUCCGGUGGCCAAAGGAGCGAUCCGGUGGCGGAUGGGCAUGCGGCGCAUUAGCUAGACGGCGGGGUGACGGCCCACCGUGGCGACGAUGCGUAGGGGUUCUGAGAGGAAGGCCCCCCACACUGGGACUGAGACACGGCCCAAACUCCUACGGAAGGCAGCAG